rfam:Oryza punctata chromosome 1, whole genome shotgun sequence.
AAUAAGUGUAGUUUUGCACGGUUCAUGUUCAACAUUUGAUCAUCCAUCUUAUUUGAAAAAAAUUUAUGAUCAGUAUUUUUGUUGUUAUUAGAUGAUAAAACAUGAAUAGUACUUUAUGUGUGACUAAGUUUUUUUAAUUUUUUUACAAAUUUUUCAAAUAAGACGAACGGUCAAACGUUGGACACGGAUAUUCACGGUUGCACUUAUU